rnacentral:rRNA from 1 species
AUUGAACGCUGGCGGAAUGCUUUACACAUGCAAGUCGAGCGGCAGCACGGGGGCAACCCUGGUGGCGAGCGGCGAACGGGUGAGUAAUACAUCGGAACAUGCCCAGUCGUGGGGGAUAACACUUCGAAAGAAGUGCUAAUACCGCAUACGUCCUGAGGGAGAAAGCGGGGGAUCUUCGGACCUCGCGCGAUUGGAGUGGCCGAUGUCAGAUUAGCUAGUUGGUGGGGUAAAGGCCUACCAAGGCAACGAUCUGUAGCUGGUCUGAGAGGAUGAUCAGCCACACUGGGACUGAGACCCGGCCCAGACGCCUACGGGAGGCGGCAGUGGGGAAUUUUGGACAAUGGGGGCAACCCUGAUCCAGCCAUUCCGCGUGAGUGAAGAAGGCCUUCGGGUUGUAAAGCUCUUUCGGCAGGAACGAAACGGCGAGCUCUAACAUAGCUUGCUAAUGACGGUACCUGAAGAAGAAGCACCGGCUAACUACGUGCCAGCCGCCGCCGUAAGAC